AAUUUGCGUUAGCGAUAGGAACGGCAUCCUUUUCGGAAGAAUUUCUGCCCUAAAGGCAGAUAUUCUUCCGAAAAGAUAUAGUGGAUAGCGCGACCUUUC
rnacentral:sRNA from 1 species